UACGUAGGGUGCAAGCGUUGUCCGGAAUUAUUGGGCGAAAGGGCUCGUAGGCGGUCCAUCGCGUCGGGGAGUGAAAAGCUGGGGCUUAACCCCAGUCCUGCUUCCGAUACGGGUGGACUAGAGGUAGGUAGGGGAGAUCGGAAUUCCUGGUGUAGCGGUGGAAAUGCGCAGAUAUCAGGAGGAACACCGGUGGCGAAGGCGGGUCUCUGGGCU
rnacentral:rRNA from 1 species